CCUACGGGGGGCUGCAGUGGGGAAUAUUGCACAAUGGGGGAAACCCUGAUGCAGCGACGCCGCGUGAGUGAAGAAGUAUUUCGGUAUGUUAAACCCUUUCAGCCGGGGAGCAAAUGACCGUACCUGACCAAGAAGCCCCGGCUAAAUACGUACCAGCAGCCGCAGGUAUGCGUAGGGGGCCAGCGUUAUCCGGAUGUACUGGGUGUUAAGGGGGCGUAGGCGGUUUUAUAAGUAUGGAGUGAAAGCCCGGGGGCCAAACCCGGGACUGCUUUGGAAACUGCUUAACUGGAGUGGAGGAGAGGUAGGCGGAAUUCGUGGUGUAGCGGUGAAAUGCGUAGAUAUCAGGAGGAACACCGGCGGCGAAGGCGGCAUGCUGGACUGAAACUGACGUUGAGGCACGAAAGCGUGGGGAGCAAACAGGAUUAGAUACCCUAGUAGUC
rnacentral:rRNA from 1 species